GGGCACAUGGUGUAGGGGUUAUCACAUUCGCUUUGCAUAUUGUCUUGCGAAAGGUCUCCGGUUCAAUUCCGGAUGUGUCCA